CUGUUAUGAUAUAGUAACUAAUGAUUUACUUGCCCUGUUGGUUUUCCUAUCUGUAUUGUAUUUUCUCCUCUUACUGAUGCUUUUUCACUCCCUUACUCUUCCCUUUAUUACCACAGAGUGCCUUGUCCCUCUGUUCUCAUUGUUUCCCAUUAUCCUUCCAUAAUCCCAUUGUACAAUCUAACCAUCAUCUGCACUUCUCAUAGCCUUAACCUGAAAAAAGGUCCUGGCAGAUAUUAGAGCUAGCAAUGGUGAUGGAAGGUUUUUAGAGUAAAGGUCAUAAGACCUGGAGAAUUCUCUUAUUCCUCUGAACUGAUGAGUGUGGAAAGAGAAAGCUGCAAGGAGACUUGAAGGCUUCAGAUCGAUACUUCAAGUAGGUGAUUAGUGGAUAUCAAGCAUCAGGGUUUGCAAUUAUCUAAUUCAAGAGUGAGGGAAGCGAUUGGAAGCGAGUGGCUGCAUGGACUGAAAUAAUUAGAUCAUAUAAUUCUUCAACUGUAAAGUACAUAUUUUGCCAAGGAAUGCUGAAAGACGGAACAGAAGGCAUUAAGUACUCAUUUCAAAAAUUGUAGACAGUCAGUUUCAUAGGAUCAAAUGUCACUCUGAUUGAAAAUAUUGUCAAAAGAGAGAAGAGGAAAACACUGAUUUUGUAAGCCUGCAUAUUAAAUAUUUUUAUUCUGUCCCUGUGACUAGCAUUUGAAUAUAGGUGUCACAGUAGGUAAAAUCCCUUUGCCAGGCCUUACAGGCUCUUCAGUAUAAACAUCACUUGAGAUCAGCCCCUGCCCCACCA